UGCCAUUUGUGUUCUGGCCUUAAACCAUU
rnacentral:piRNA from 1 species